UGUGCACACUCACAUGGUGAACUUUUGC
rnacentral:piRNA from 1 species